rnacentral:rRNA from 1 species
GCUGGCGGCGUGCCUAAUACAUGCAAGUCGAGCGAGCGGAACUAACAGAUUUACUUCGGUAAUGACGUUAGGAAAGCGAGCGGCGGAUGGGUGAGUAACACGUGGGGAACCUGCCCCAUAGUCUGGGAUACCACUUGGAAACAGGUGCUAAUACCGGAUAAGAAAGCAGAUCGCAUGAUCAGCUUUUAAAAGGCGGCGUAAGCUGUCGCUAUGGGAUGGCCCCGCGGUGCAUUAGCUAGUUGGUAAGGUAAAGGCUUACCAAGGCGAUGAUGCAUAGCCGAGUUGAGAGACUGAUCGGCCACAUUGGGACUGAGACACGGCCCAAACUCCUACGGGAGGCAGCAGUAGGGAAUCUUCCACAAUGGACGCAAGUCUGAUGGAGCAACGCCGCGUGAGUGAAGAAGGUUUUCGGAUCGUAAAGCUCUGUUGUUGGUGAAGAAGGAUAGAGGUAGUAACUGGCCUUUAUUUGACGGUAAUCAACCAGAAAGUCACGGCUAACUACGUGCCAGCCAGCCGCGGUAAUACGUAGGUGGCAAGCGUUGUCCGGAUUUAUUGGGCGUAAAGCGAGCGCAGGCGGAAGAAUAAGUCUGAUGUGAAAGCCCUCGGGCUUAACCGAGGAACUGCAUCGGAAACUGUUUUUCUUGAGUGCAGAAGAGGAGAGUGGAACUCCAUGUGUAGCGGUGGAAUGCGUAGAUAUAUGGAAGAACACCAGUGGCGAAGGCGGCUCUCUGGUCUGCAACUGACGCUGAGGCUCGAAAGCAUGGGUAGCGAACAGGAUUAGAUACCCUGGUAGUCCAUGCCGUAAACGAUGAGUGCUAAGUGUUGGGAGGUUUCCGCCUCUCAGUGCUGCAGCUAACGCAUUAAGCACUCCGCCUGGGGAGUACGACCGCAAGGUUGAAACUCAAAGGAAUUGACGGGGGCCCGCACAAGCGGUGGAGCAUGUGGUUUAAUUCGAAGCAACGCGAAGAACCUUACCAGGUCUUGACAUCUAGUGUCAUUUGUAGAGAUACAAAGUUCCCUUCGGGGACGCUAAGACAGGUGGUGCAUGGCUGUCGUCAGCUCGUGUCGUGAGAUGUUGGGUUAAGUCCCGCAACGAGCGCAACCCUUGUUAUUAGUUGCCAGCAUUAAGUUGGGCACUCUAAUGAGACUGCCGGUGACAAACCGGAGGAAGGUGGGGAUGACGUCAAGUCAUCAUGCCCCUUAUGACCUGGGCUACACACGUGCUACAAUGGGCAGUACAACGAGAAGCGAGCCUGCGAAGGCAAGCGAAUCUCUGAAAGCUGUUCUCAGUUCGGACUGCAGUCUGCAACUCGACUGCACGAAGCUGGAAUCGCUAGUAAUCGCGGAUCAGCACGCCGCGGUGAAUACGUUCCCGGGCCUUGUACACACCGCCCGUCACACCAUGGGAGUCUGCAAUGCCCAAAGCCGGUGGCCUAACCUUCGGGAAGGAGCCGUCUAAGGCAGGGCAGAUGACUGGGGU